UACGAAGGGGGCUAGCGUUGCUCGGAAUCACUGGGCGUAAAGGGUGCGUAGGCGGGUCUUUAAGUCAGGGGUGAAAUCCUGGAGCUCAACUCCAGAACUGCCUUUGAUACUGAGGAUCUUGAGUUCGGAAGAGGAGAGUGGAAUUCCUGGUGUAGCGGUGAAAUGCGCAGAUAUCAGGAAGAAUAUCCGUGGCGAAGGCGGCUCUCUGGUACGGCACUGACGCUGAGAAGCGAAAGCAUGGGGAGCGAACAGG
rnacentral:rRNA from 1 species